CUCAAACUUAAAUGAAUUGACGGGGACCCGCACAAGCGGUGGAUGAUGUGGUUUAAUUCGAUGCAACGCGAAAAACCUUACCCACCUUUGACAUGUAUGGAAUCCCGCAGAGAUGUGGGAGUGCUCGCAAGAGAGCCAUAACACAGGUGCUGCAUGGCUGUCGUCAGCUCGUGUCGUGAGAUGUUGGGUUAAGUCCCGCAACGAGCGCAACCCUUGCCAUCAGUUGCUACGAAAGGGCACUCUGAUGGGACUGCCGGUGACAAACCGGAGGAAGGUGGGGAUGACGUCAAGUCCUCAUGGCCCUUAUAGGUGGGGCUACACACGUCAUACAAUGGCCGGUACAAAGGGCAGCGAAGCCGCGAGGUGAAGCCAAUCCCAUAAAGCCGGUCGUAGUCCGGAUCGCAGUCUGCAACUCGACUGCGUGAAGUCGGAAUCGCUAGUAAUCGUGGAUCAGCAUGUCACGGUGAAUACGUUCCCGGGUCUUGUACACACCGCCCGUCACACCAUGGGAGCGGGUCUCACCAGAAGCAGGUAGCCUAACCGCAAGGAGGGCGCUUGCCACGGU
rnacentral:rRNA from 1 species